CAGUCGCCACGGUAAUACGAAGGGUGCAAGCGUUACUCGGAAUUACUGGGCGUAAAGCGUGCGUAGGUGGUUGUUUAAGUCUGCUGUGAAAGCCCUGGGCUCAACCUGGGAAUUGCAGUGGAUACUGGGCGACUAGAGUAAGGUAGAGGAUAGUGGAAUUUCCGGUGUAGCAGUGAAAUGCGUAGAGAUCGGAAGGAACAUCUGUGGCGAAGGCGACUAUCUGGGCCAUUACUGACACUGAGGCACGAAAGCGUGGGGAGCAAACAGGAUUAGAGACCCCGGUAGUCCCUGUCUCUUAUAC
rnacentral:rRNA from 1 species